rnacentral:rRNA from 2 species
UAGAGUUUGAUCAUGGCUCAGGAUGAACGCCGGCGGUGUGCCUAAUACAUGCAAGUCGAACGCGUUGGCCCAAUUGAUUGAUGGUGCUUGCACCUGAUUGAUUUUGGUCGCCAACGAGUGGCGGACGGGUGAGUAACACGUAGGUAACCUGCCCAGAAGCGGGGGACAACAUUUGGAAACAGAUGCUAAUACCGCAUAACAGCGUUGUUCGCAUGAACAACGCUUAAAAGAUGGCUUCUCGCUAUCACUUCUGGAUGGACCUGCGGUGCAUUAGCUUGUUGGUGGGGUAACGGCCUACCAAGGCGAUGAUGCAUAGCCGAGUUGAGAGACUGAUCGGCCACAAUGGGACUGAGACACGGCCCAUACUCCUACGGGAGGCAGCAGUAGGGAAUCUUCCACAAUGGGCGCAAGCCUGAUGGAGCAACACCGCGUGAGUGAAGAAGGGUUUCGGCUCGUAAAGCUCUGUUGUUAAAGAAGAACACGUAUGAGAGUAACUGUUCAUACGUUGACGGUAUUUAACCAGAAAGUCACGGCUAACUACGUGCCAGCAGCCGCGGUAAUAA